rnacentral:rRNA from 1 species
UACGUAGGGUGCAAGCGUUGUCCGGAAUUAUUGGGCGUAAAGAGCUCGUAGGCGGUCUGUCGCGUCGGCUGUGAAAACUCGGGGCUCAACUCCGAGCCUGCAGUCGAUACGGACAGACUAGAGUGCGGUAGGGGAGACUGGGAAUUCCUGGUGUAGCGGUGAAAUGCGCAGAUAUCAGGAGGAACACCGGUGGCGAAGGCGGGUCUCUGGGCCGUAACUGACGCUGAGGAGCGAAAGCGUGGGGAGCGAACAGG